GAUGAAGAACGUAGCAAAAUGCGAUAAGUAAUGUGAAUUGCAGAAUUCAGUGAAUCAUCGAAUCUUUGAACGCACAUUGCGCCCGCCAGCACUCUGGCGGGCAUGCCUGUUCGAGCGUCAUUUCAACCAUCAAGCCCCAGGCUUGCGUUGGAGCCCUGCGGCUGCCGCAGCCUCCUAAAAGCAGUGGCGGGCUCGCUAUCACACCGAGUGCAGUAGAUUACUCUUCGCUCAGGGCGUGCAGCGGGUUCCGGCCGUGAAACCCCCUACUUUUAAAGGUUGACCUCGGAUCAGGUAGGAAUACCCGCUGAACUUAAGCAUAUCAAUAAGCGGAGGA
rnacentral:misc_RNA from 1 species